UUUUUUUUUUUUUUUUUUUUUGGCUGCCCCAUGGCAUAGGGAUCAGUUCCCAGCCACAGUUGUGACCUAAGCCACAGCUGCAGCAAUGCCAGAUCCUUAAUGCGCUGUCCCCAGCCAGGGAUUGAACCUGCAUACCAGCACUCCCAAGAUGCCUCAAAUCCUAUUGGGCCAAAGGGGGAAAUCCUCUGGCUGGCUAUUCUUGUGAAAGAAUGUGAGCCUGAUGUUGCCAGAUUUUCCAUUUUUCCAAAGACAUGGAGGUCUGGAUUUCCCAUGAAGUCUCCUCAUUUGGAAACUGAUUUUGAUGAAAAAUAUUGCAAGGGCUGACAUGAUGAGCUAAAUAAGAUCUGUCUGGUGCUUCCCCUGAGCAGCCCCAGUUUGCAGCCCUGACCUAGGAACCAGGUCCUCUACACCUGGAGCGUGGUAGGCAGCUCUGGGAGAAGAAGGCAGGAGGAGAGCAGGUGAAGCCAUGGGGCAAAUGGCUUCACUGGGCACAGGAAGAAGGAGCGCUGACUGCUGUUCCUGGGCUCAUAAAACACCUGGAGGAGUUCCCAUUAUGGCUCAAUGGAAGUGAAUCUGACUAGCAUCCUUGAGGAUGCAGGUUCAACCCCUGGCCUCACUCAGUGGGUUAAGGAUGUUGUGAGCUGUGGUGUAGGUUGCAGAUGCGGCUUGGAACUGAUGUUGCUCGCGGGAUCUGAGCCUCAAUUGUGACCUACACUGCAGCUCAGGGCAACCCCAGGUCCUUAACCCCCUGAGCGAGGCCAGGCCAGGGAUCAAACUCCCAACCUCAUGGAUCCUAGUCGGAUUCAUUACUGCUGAGCCACAACGGGAACUUCCCAAAGUGACUGCUUUUAAACCCUCACCUAUUGCAAGCCUUCCCUCUAAACACUGUCUCAUGGAAGCAGGGGUGGGAUAAAAGUUCUUUCAAAGCAAAAUGGGGGAAGGUGGAGGAGGGCAGAGAAAGCAGGGAGUGAGCAGGGGAAAAGGAGACACCAGCCCCACCCUCCUUCCCUGCACAAUUCUGCUGUGAGCCAAACUCAGCCCAGGUCGGAGAUGACUGGCAAGACGCAACCAGACAGACAUCUCUCAAAGAUGCCUGGGAGAGGCUGGUGUAUCUCCCCAGAGCCUGGGCAAUGUUAUUUCCUGGGGCAAAGCAAGUCACAAAGGAUGAAAGCUGAUGACUGAAUGUCUGGGCCAGGGUGGGAGGCCUUGCCAGGAGGUGGGGGUGGAGCGGUGGAAAGGGAGGAGGGGUGGAGACUUGGCUGGUUUCACACAGACACAUCUCUUCAUUUUUCCAGACUGGAAAAAGCUGUUGGGGCUGUGUGCAUUUGCAGAGAGUCACGGUAUUUACUACGCUUCCUGGCGCGACAGAUUUCUUUCUGUCGUUCAGUCAAACGCAGCUUGUAUUUUUCAGAGCCGGGGCUGAACAGACCGUGGAGGCUCUUCCCCCACGUUGCGUUCAAAAACACAUCACGAGGGACUCAAAAAGCCCGGCUCAGACGGGUGGCGGGAGCAGGUGGGGGGAGCAUGUUGGAGGGAUAAAGACCCAUGUUUAGACAAACAGUGUCUUCCCCUUGCAGGGGUUGAACCGCACUCUAUUUUCCCAGCACACAUUGCUUUUUGGAGCAGCUGGACUAGAAACUGAUUCCUGCACUUUGCAUGUGACUCUCGGUUAUCUAAAUCGAUGGUGGCGGGUGGUUCAGGGAAAUGGCAAUUUUUUAAAAAGUGGCUAAUAAUUAUAAUAAUAUUAAAAAAUCCCUUCUGGCCAAAAUAUGCCUAUCCAGAGACAGUUGUCUGUUGAACCACUGUAUGCUAAGACCCAACAGACAGUAGUUAAGCAUGUAUCAUGUGCAUGGCACUGUGCUGGGGGUGGAAGUGUCCAGGCUGACCACAGUUUAACAUGCUCGUUACCUCUUUGGUGAGAAACAGCGUGUGAGCCCGCCCAAUGGCUUCACAGUCAAUGCUGGCAUUUCAGGCACUUAGGGAUGGGCCAGGUCAGCAAGGAAAGUCUUUUGGAGGUGGGGGAGGGGAGAUCUUUCCCAAAUCCCUUCAUAUCACACUCCCAGGUUCCUGUAUGUGUAUUGCCAGCCAAGCCACAGCACUGGGAGAGUCGUCAUCAAAUCUUGCUCAAAACCCCAGGGUCAUGCUGCCCGAGAGUCGGAAUUUCAUCUUCCGAGAUGACAUAUUCAGGCAACCUCUGACCUCUCCAGCCAGGGGGCAGGGUAAAUAAACAGACAGCCCGGAUGACGCAGGUUAGCGUCACCUGAUGCAAUGGGAUUGAACCUCUAACCUCGUCCGCUUCUCGGAUUGGCAAAGCACAGAGUGAUCGCGCAUUAAUUUAAAGAGAGAAGGGACUCACACAGACUUCUCAAGCCUGCUUUUGAGCCAGGAGCCAUGGGGGAUUAGAGGGGUGGAGGCAAGUGGAGGAAAGUAGGGGAGGGUCUUUAGGGGACCGAGGGAGUCGGGGAGGCUAGGAAUUCUGCACAGUCCAAGGUGACUAUGCCAGAUGCAGCGCAGUUUUUUUUUUUUUUUUUUUCCUUUCAAAAGACUAUUAAGGGGUUCCUUUCCAAAGUGGAAAUGCAGGGAUGGAAAAAUGAGUUUCAGUUGCUAUGGAAAUAGGAGUUGGCUGGGGCAGCAGCUGGAAUGGAGUGAGUGGCCAGGAACCUGGCCCUGUGACAGAUGAGGCUUCCGGCUGGGGAUAAGACAACAACAGGCUUUAGCAGGAAGGAGAAGGAGGAAAGAAGCUAGAAAAGGAGACAGAGACCAUGUCUCCAGACACUGGAGCCUAUGAAUUCUGCAGACACUUGGAGUGAUACAGACAGGGGUGUGUGUGCGUGAGUGUGUGGUUGUGUGGUAUGUGCAUCCCCAAAGGCCAAAAAAAACCCCCAAAAAGCAAACGAGAAGCAAAAUACAUCCAAUGCCUGAAAAAGAAGGGAGUUUCACCAGAGACCCCGAGGUCAAGAAAGCCCCUAGAUAGUUGAAGGACUAAAGAGGAGAGGCUUGCCUUUUGGAAGCCUUCCAGGAGGUUGGGGGAAAUGCCUGAAUGGGGACUUGCCCCCCCACCACACUCUCAUCACCUUUUGUCUUCACAUAACCCUUCAAACUGAAACUGGGGUGGGCCAGAUACACAGCUGGCAAAAUCCCCAUGGGGUUAGCAAGACUAUGGGUGUGGGUAAGGUGGUUGUUCUAUUUCAUCUGUACCUCUGGGUGACUGCUUUUUUUCCAAGUAGAAAGAAUCCAUGACCCUGGGACUC
rnacentral:lncRNA from 1 species